GACGAACCGUGCGAACGUUGUUCGGAUUCACUGGGCUUAAAGGGCGCGUAGGCGGGCGUUCUUGUCCGGGGUGAAAGCCCACGGCUUAACCGUGGAAGUGCCUCGGAAACGGGACGCCUCGAGGGGGGUAGGGGCCUGCGGAACUUCCGGUGGAGCGGUGAAAUGCGUAGAUAUCGGAAGGAACGCCGGUGGCGAAAGCGGCGGGCUGGACCCCUUCUGACGCUGAGGCGCGAAAGCCAGGGGAGCAAACGGG
rnacentral:rRNA from 1 species